rnacentral:rRNA from 1 species
AACGUAGGAUCCGAGCGUUAUCCGAAUUUACUGGGCGUAAAGCGCGUGUAGGCGGUUUGGUAAGUUGGAUGUGAAAGCUCCUGGCUCAACUGGGAGAGGCCGUUCAAAACUGCCAGACUAGAGGAUGGUAGAGGGAGGUGGAAUUCCGGGUGUAGUGGUGAAAUGCGUAGAUAUCCGGAGGAACACCAGUGGCGAAGGCGGCCUCCUGGGCCAUUCCUGACGCUCAGACGCGAAGGCUAGGGUAG